rnacentral:rRNA from 1 species
UACGGAGGGUGCGAGCGUUGUCCGGAAUCACUGGGCGUAAAGCGCACGUAGGCGGCUUCUUAAGUCAGGGGUGAAAUCCUGGAGCUCAACUCCAGAACUGCCUUUGAUACUGAGAAGCUUGAGUCCGGGAGAGGUGAGUGGAACUGCGAGUGUAGAGGUGAAAUUCGUAGAUAUUCGCAAGAACACCAGUGGCGAAGGCGGCUCACUGGCCCGGUACUGACGCUGAGGUGCGAAAGCGUGGGGAGCAAACAGG